rnacentral:rRNA from 1 species
UACGGGGGGGGCUAGCGUUGUUCGGAAUCACUGGGCGUAAAGCGUGAGUAGGUUGUUUGGAAAGUUAGAUGUGAAAGCCCGGGGCUUAACCCCGGAAUUGCAUUUAAAACUACCAGACUAGAGAUCGGUAGGGGAUAGUGGAAUUCCUAGUGUAGAGGUGAAAUUCGUAGAUAUUAGGAGGAACACCAGUGGCGAAGGCGACUAUCUGGGCCGAUACUGACACUAAACACACGAAAGCGUGGGGAGCAAACAGG